GCCUCUAUAGAUCAAUGCUAGAUCACUUCCGCUGCAUCACAGUGACCCUGUUCAGGCAUACUUCGAAGGAGACGUAGGUUCGAUUCCUACUGGAGGUA